AAGAGACAGCAGUCGCCGCGGUAAUACGAAGGGUGCAAGCGUUACUCGGAAUUACUGGGCGUAAAGCGUGCGUAGGUGGUGGUUUAAGUCCGUUGUGAAAGCCCUGGGCUCAACCUGGGAAUUGCAGUGGAUACUGGGUCACUAGAGUGUGGUAGAGGAUAGUGGAAUUUCCGGUGUAGCAGUGAAAUGCGUAGAGAUCGGAAGGAACAUCUGUGGCGAAGGCGACUAUCUGGGCCAACACUGACACUGAGGCACGAAAGCGUGGGGAGCAAACAGGAUUAGAUACCCGUGUAGUCCCUGUCUCUUAUAA
rnacentral:rRNA from 1 species